CGUGUAGGUGGCUAAUUAAGUUAGGUGUGAAAGCCUUCCGCUUAACGGAAGAAGUGCACUUAAAACUGAUUAGCUAGAGUACGAGAGAGGAAGGUGGAAUUCCUGGUGUAGAGGUGAAAUUCAUAGAUAUCGGGAAGAACACCGGUGGCGAAGGCGGCCUUCUGGCUCGAUACUGACGCUGAGACGCGAAAGCGUGGGGAGCAAACA
rnacentral:rRNA from 1 species